rnacentral:tRNA from 1 species
GCGCCCAUCGUCUAGUGGUCAGGACGCGAGGUUUUCAUCCUCGAAACCGGAGUUCAAUUCUCCGUGGGCGCGCGA